rnacentral:lncRNA from 1 species
CUCCAAGUCUCCAAGUCUCCUUCGCACUUGCUCCUGGCUGAUGGAUGAAAUGGAAUGUACUGGAAUAGGUGAUGUGUCUACAGUGCUGAUUGGCUCAAAGUAGCAGAAGAAAUCUAGGGAGCUGAGGAUCUCGGCUGCAGAUAACGUGAGAUGGUAUCUUUAAAGAAGUCUGACCUAGGUCCCCUGCAUCUAAGAAGCUGGCAUCGAAGUUGUUAGAAGAGUUAUUGGAAUGGGACUAACAGGAGAUGGUUGCCAGAGAAGGAUCCUGAAACUGUUAUCACAGCUAUACAAGGUCAAAUGAAGGGCAUAACCUUGGCAUGAAGAGGAAUUGGUAGAGGAGGGCUGAGCUACGGUCGAUGACCUUGGAGACAGAAUGCUGGUGAUAGAAUAGUGAAGCACAGCGCAGUGUUUAACUUGUCCGGACAUAGAAAACAGGGUUUCGUCAGCUAGUUAAGGCUAAACAAAGAACGUCCGAAAUAAAACAAAAGGUCGUGGUAUGUUUUAAGACUCUUUAAAAACCUUCAAUUACCCAGAAUAAACCACCUGGUCUCAGGCUGACAAGAAGGUCGGGCAACUGCAGCUGCUAAAAGCCAAACUCAGUGUAUUGGCUAGGUGCUAAUAUGCCUUUAUUGGGGUCUAUAACUUCAAAAUUAAGUUUUCAGAACCUGGGCAGAUUGAAUGUCAUUGACUUCUCUCGUCUUUGAGGAUGAGAUAUUAGAAGCCUGUGAAUUCUGACAGCUGUUUAAAAGUGGAGUUCCUGGAUUUCACGACAUUUUGUUAACAAUGUGUAAAGAUCGGCCCUAAAGCCAAUCUGUGCCGGGCUGCUUUGGCUGGGACAUCCCAGGCAAAGGUUUUAAGCAUAUGCUCAUUAUAGAACCCACGGGUAGCAAGCGUAAAGAAGCAAUGCUGUUCUUGUCUACAACCUGUUGUGGUUAACGGAGUUCCUUCCUUGCUGGGACCCUAGGAAGAAUGGCUUUCUUUACUGGAGACACACUGUGGGCUUUGGUAAUAAGAGGAAAACUAAGAGAAGAGGCUUUGUUAAGACCUUAGUGAAAUUCUUCUCCCCUCUUUCUUUUUAUUUUAGAUGUACCCAUUCUAGACCCCCCAAAGACUACCGUCCACCAGCAGCCAUCCUUCCACGAUUUUCUGUGGCCAGUUUAGACUGAGCUAGAGCAGGCUCACUGUAUGCCUGUCUAAUGAGGAAAUGGUCACAGGGAUGUUGAUGGCAGUCAGACCCCUUCACCACUGUCGGCCUUCUCUGCUUGGUGACAAAGACUCUGGGCUGUGUCUGUAGCACACGUGUUCCUCUGAUGGCCUCAUUUAGGAUACUGUUGAAAUAAAGCUUGCUACAGCAAUGCCCAAUGGCACGACUCAUAAUUAGUCUGAAUAACAUUUUCCAUUUUAAACCCUGAUUUUUUUUAUGGGAUUUACUGCUUGGCCCAUAAAAUCUCGUUCUAAACCGAGACCUGGCAUAAUUUUUAGCAUAAGCAAAUAUACCGUAGCUAUAAAUCACGAGCUCCAGUCUUGACCCUAGAAGGUGAAGAGCAAGCUCACGUGAACCAAGGCAGAGGCAACAGGCUUGGGUGAGUGGCACAGGGUCUUUGAUGUCGCUAGUGUUGCUCCCACGCUGCCCAACAUCAGCAGCCAACUUGGAACAGGGCAGUGCCAUGAUGAUUCAGAGAACGGACUCCCAAGGAACACGCAUCUUUUUGGACUUGUGCAUGCGUACACAGGUGUGCCUAGAUCAUGAACCGAUUAAUGACUUUCUAGAGAAGACAAGAAUGGCGUGAAUUAGGGCACCUUUCCCUUUUGGACUUGAUAUGGCAUGAUAUGAGGCUCUCUGAAUAAAGUUCUUAAGGAGGGAUGGUAUGUUUUGUGAUCAAACAUGCCUGGUUGGAAUUCCAGCACCUGUUUUUAUGUCCUCCGGGUCCUUCCAUCACUGAAAGACACUGGCCGUCAGCCACCAGAGUAAACAUUCUUAUUUCAAGUCCUUUACCCAGGGUCAGAUUUUGCCCUGUGCUGCAGUGGCUCUUCAAGCAGGUCCCCCGAGCAGCACCUGUUGCUCUGCAGCUCAUUACAAAUGGAUACUGGGACCAUUCCCAGGCUCCGCUGAACUGGAAACGGUGGAAUGAUGCCCAGAAAUCUGUCUCUUAAUCACUGAUUCCGAUGACUGCCACAGUUAAGAACCACUGGUGCGGUGGCUUGGACGAAGUGCCCUGAGAUCACAGAGACUUUUGCCGCAGCUCAGAUCUUGAAUGACUGACUCCCAACUCCUUUGUGUUCAAGGCAUGCCCUCAGCCUUUAGUGCUAUUGGGGGUGGUAGAAAUUUUACGACAUGGGCCAUGUGGAAGGAAGUUAGGUCACAGAGACACUGAAAUCCUAUUCUUUCUCCUCCCUGCUCCUGGCUUCCUAGUUGCUCAUCGUGAGUAGCAAUCGUGCACCCCCAUGCUCUUGUCCUGAAGUACUGCUGCACAUUACAUAAAACCAACACAGGCUGUGCACACACAACCCGGCUCUAUCGCUGGGCUCUCUAAUCUUUGGCACUCUUUAACCUCCCUGACCCUCAGUUGCUUUAGUUAUAAAAUGGACACAAUAAUAAAGAAUGUGAAAAUAAGCACCUUAUAGAGUUUCUAAAAUUUAUUUAUUUACUUAUUAUUUUUUUGAGCCAGG